rnacentral:lncRNA from 1 species
UUUUAGUUUUCUUUUUAUGCUUUUGAUUUGUAACUGCAUCAUCUGUGAAAAACUUUCUCUAGUUUAAAAUAUUUUAUGCAUAUUCAAUUUUCUCUUUAUCCUUUUACUUUCCGUUUGUUCUUAGUUUACAAUUUCAAUUCCAAAAAAUUAGUACCAUGUUUAGGCGAAAGCAGAGGAUCUGUCUUGGUGUUAAUGAUACAAAAAAAAAAUUGUUAUGGCAAAGUUGGUGAGUUUGAAGGCCUAGUAUUGUUGUGAAUCUUGGAGACUCAAAACAUGUUUUAGUAUUUUAAAUAUAUGAAUCUUACUGUCUGGCCAUAUACAUAUGUACAAGCUUAACAAAUAUGAAGUUUUUUGGCAUGAACCAAAAUAUCAGAGCCAAAAGUUUGCACCCAAGACUGCACACUAUUCAACUAAUCUCACAGCACUUAAGAAGAGCAGACUAAUACGCUUUGCUGAUCCAGGAGCUGAAAUAGGAUCCCAUGAUCUCUCUCCAACAGAGACAGGUAAGUAAUCACGAACAAUCUCAAUGUCUUUAGAGAAUCUCUUCCAUCAGGAGGAUAACCGGCUUCAUACACAUCAUCUGCUGUGCAGGCUUUGCCAAUUGGUUGGCUUGAGGCGAUGUAACUGCACAGAAACCACCAAAAACUCAACAGAAAAGAAACAAAGAAGGACACGAAAUCAAAUGACAAGAGAUGAAUGAGAGUGAGCUACUUAAAAUUGUCCAAGGAUCAGUAUUAGGAACUCUAAUAAACUCAGCUUCCUUAAGUAUAUAAAUUAUCAUCCUUAUAAGGUUGUUUGAGCAGAUCAUCCAUUUGAGCUAUCUAGUAUGACUAAAGAGCACCACCAAAAAAAGCGAGCUAUCUAGUAUGAAUAUGAUGAUCAAAUACGUCAUAUUUAUCUUGUGGAUGCAAGUCUUAGUCACCAUGCAGCAUGCUAAGGUUAAAUCCUGAACCCAUUGACCAAUAUCAUCAUGCUUUUUGUGAUUCAUUUUCUUAACCCUUUCAUUUCAGGUUACUUCAAGCAGUACACUCAAGUAGAAGAAAUGAGCCAAAGCUCUUUCAUAUAUUCAGAUCAAUUAGUAUAUACUUUUAUACAAUAUGUUCAACAGUUCAAGUUAUAUUACUUUCAGUAAACUUUAUUAAUCAUCAAUGUGGUUAUCCUAAAUCAUGUCCAACAAAGCCUAAUUGUUUUUCUUUUUUUUAUUCUUUUGAUUUGGUGUUUUAGAUCUCUACUGAUUUGAUGGGUCAAGAGUAAUUGUCUGCGUGCCAUUUACUUGUCUUACUGCAAUGACACAC